UACGUAGGGUGCGAGCGUUAAUCGGAAUUACUGGGCGUAAAGCGUGCGCAGGCGGAUGUUUAAGCAAGAUGUGAAAUCCCCGGGCUUAACCUGGGAAUGGCAUUUUGAACUGGACGUCUAGAGUGCGGCAGAGGGAGGUGGAAUUCCACGUGUAGCAGUGAAAUGCGUAGAGAUGUGGAGGAACACCGAUGGCGAAGGCAGCCUCCUGGGCUGACACUGACGCUCAUGAACGAAAGCGUGGGGAGCAAACAGG
rnacentral:rRNA from 1 species